rnacentral:rRNA from 1 species
AUUGAACGCUGGCGGCACGCCUAACACAUGCAAGUCGAACGCGAAAGUCCUUCGGGAUGAGUAGAGUGGCGGACGGGUGAGUAACGCAUAGGAAUCUAUCCUGUAGUGGGGGAUAACGUUUCGAAAGGAACGCUAAUACCGCAUACGCCCCACGGGGGAAAGCGGGGGAUCUUCGGACCUCGUGCUAUAGGAGGAGCCUGCGUCGGUUUAGCUAGUUGGUGAGGUAAAGGCUAACCAAGGCGACGAUCCGUAGCGGGGCUGAGAGGAUGAUCAGCCACACCGGAACUGAGACACGGUCCGGACUCCUACGGGAGGCAGCAGUGGGGAAUAUUGCGCAAUGGGCGAAAGCCUGACGCAGCCAUACCGCGUGUGUGAAGAAGGCCUUCGGGUUGUAAAGCACUUUCAGUGGGGAGGAAAAGCUGGUGGCUAAUAUCCACCGGCCGUGACGCUACCCACAGAAGAAGCACCGGCUAAUUCCGUGCCAGCCGCCGCUGUAA